CCUACGGGUGGCAGCAGUGAGGAAUAUUGGUCAAUGGACGAGAGUCUGAACCAGCCAAGUAGCGUGAAGGAUGACGGCCCUAUGGGUUGUAAACUUCUGUUAUAAAGGAAUAAAACGAGGCACGUGGGCCGUUUUGCAUGUACGUUAUGAAUAAGGAGCGGCUAACUCCGUGCCAGCAGCCGCGGUAAUACGGAGGUUCCGAGCGUUAUCCGGAUUUAUUGGGGUUAAAGGGAGCGUCGAUGGGUUGUUAAGUCAGUUGUGCCAGUUUGCGGCUCAACCGUAAAAGUGCAAUUGAUACUGGCAGUCUUGAUUACAGUUGAGGUCGGCGGAUUUCGUGUUGUAGCGG
rnacentral:rRNA from 1 species